UUAACAAAAACAUGUCUUUUUGAGUUAUUUAUAAAGUCUGACCUGCCCACUGAAUUUUAAAUGGCCGCAGUAUUUUAACUGUGCAAAGGUAGCAUAAUCAUUAGUCUUUUAAUUGAAGGCUGGUAUGAAUGGUUGGACGAGGUAUGUGCUGUUUCAUGUAAAUUUAUAGUAGAAUUUUAUAUUUUAGUUAAAAAGCUAAAAUAAAGUUAAAAGACGAGAAGACCCUAUAAAUCUUUAUAUUUAAUAUUGUUUAAGUUUUUUGGGAUUAGUUUAUUUUUAUUAUGUUAAAUAUUUUGUUGGGGUGAUGUUAAAAUUUAAUGAACUUUUAAUUUUUUAAAAAUCAUUUAUUUAUGAAUUGUUGAUCCAUUAUUAUUGAUUAUAAGGUUAAGUUACUUUAGGGAUAACAGCGUAAUUUUUUUGGAGAGUUCAUAUCGAUAAAAAAGGUUGCGACCUCGAUGUUGGAUUAAGAUAUAUUUUAGGUGUAGUUGCUUAAAUGUUAAGUCUGUUCGACUUUUAAAUUCUUACGUGAUCUGAGUUC
rnacentral:rRNA from 1 species